AGUGAACGCUGGCGGUAGGCCUAACACAUGCAAGUCGAACGGCAGCACAGUAAGAGCUUGCUCUUACGGGUGGCGAGUGGCGGACGGGUGAGGAAUACAUCGGAAUCUACUUUUUCGUGGGGGAUAACGUAGGGAAACUUACACUACUACCGCAUACGACCUACGGGUGAAAGCAGUGGAUCUUCGGACCUUGCGCGAUUGAAUGAGCCGAUGUCGGAUUAGCUAGUUGGCGGGGUAAAGGCCCACCAAGGCGACGAUCCGUAGCUGGUCUGAGAGGAUGAUCAGCCACACUGGAACUGAGACACGGUCCAGACUCCUACGGGAGGCAGCAGUGGGGAAUAUUGGACAAUGGGCGCAAGCCUGAUCCAGCCAUACCGCGUGGGUGAAGAAGGCCUUCGGGUUGUAAAGCCCUUUUGUUGGGAAAGAAAAGCAGCAGGUUAAUACCCCGCUGUUCUGACGGUACCCAAAGAAUAAGCACCGGCUAACUUCGU
rnacentral:rRNA from 1 species